rnacentral:ncRNA from 1 species
AGAUUAAUGACAAAGUACUUGCGGCGGUGAGAACCGGCAGAUCGCCAAGACGUCGUUAAUACCUUCUUAUCGGCUCGUUUUGCGCCACCCCAGGCGCGGACACC